GAUUCCUACAAGGAGCAAGGACCACCUACAUUGAUCAGGGCCACGGCGGCCACAACAAUCCAUCCGUAGCCGCCAUCGGGGACAAUGCGACUUGCCUGUCCAUCCAUGUCCGUGCUCUCCGGGUUGCUCGGCGAGAUUAAACUGGCUGUGGGGAAAUGUGCGUCCUGAUAAGCCAGCCAAAUCGCACUUACACAUCGCAGACAAGGUGAACGGCUGUGGCUACGGCUCGUCUCGGCGCUUUCGCCCAACUGCGUGGCCAUUUCGUAAACAACGUAUUAGCAAAUUAAGCCGAAUUAAAGCUUAAAUUAGAAUAAAUUAAGCCCAAAGUCGCAAAAAUUUGAGAAGUCAGUAUGACCUUUGCGUGAGUGUCAUGAAAUGUUCAUCCCUAAAAAUUGCGCAUUAAUAAAGCAACGUUUGUUAAAACUUAA